CCUACGGGUGGCAGCAGUGAGGAAUAUUGGUCAAUGGCCGGAAAGCUGAACCAGCCAUGCCGCGUGAAGGUCAGUGCCCUAUGGGCGUUAAACUUCUUUUGUGCGGGAGCAAUAAUGGUCACGUGUGGCCAGACGAGAGUACCGUACGAAUAAGCAUCGGCUAACUCCGUGCCAGCAGCCGCGGUAAUACGGGGGAUGCAAGCGUUAUCCGGAUUUAUUGGGUUUAAAGGGUGCGUAGGCUGUGAGGUAAGUCAGCGGUGAAAUGCCCCCGCUCAACGGGGUGAAGUGCCAUUGAUACUGCCUGGCUGGAAUGCGGAUGCCGUGGGAGGAAUGUGUGGUGUAGCGGUGAAAUGCAUAGAUAUCACACAGAACACCGAUUGCGAAGGCAUCUCACGAAUCCGCGAUUGACGCUGAUGCACGAAAGCGUGGGUAUCAAACAGGAUUAGAUACCCUAGUAGUC
rnacentral:rRNA from 1 species